GACGAACGCUGGCGGCGUGCCUAAUACAUGCAAGUCGAGCGGACUUUAAAAGCUUGCUUUUUAAGUUAGCGGCGGACGGGUGAGUAACACGUGGGCAACCUGCCUGUAAGACUGGGAUAACUUCGGGAAACCGGAGCUAAUACCGGAUAAUCCUUUCCUCCUCAUGUAGGAAAGCUGAAAGACGGUUUACGCUGUCACUUACAGAUGGGCCCGCGGCGCAUUAGCCAGUUGGUGAGGUAACGGCUCACCAAGGCGACGAUGCUUAGCCGACCUGAGAGGGUGCUGGGCAACACUGGGACUGAGACACGGCCGAGACUCCGUCGGGAGGCAGCAGUAGGGAAUCUUCCGCAAUGGACGAAAGUCUGACGGGGCAACGCCGCGUGAGUGAUGAAGGUUUUCGGAUCGUAAAACUCUGUUGUGAGGGAAGAACAAGUACGAGAGUAACUGCUCGUACCUUGACGGUACCUAACCAGAAAGCCACGGCUAACUACGUGCCAGCCGCCGCAGUAA
rnacentral:rRNA from 1 species